CAGAAAGAAAGAAAGAAAGAAAAAAUCCUUCCCUUUUAACACUAGAGGUCACUCUGUGAGCACAAAUGUGAAGGCAGCACCCUGAGGCUUGUGAAGGUCAGAGCAGCUAAUCUCUAUAAAUUGCUGAGCCAUGAGCCAAAUUUGUACCUAAUUACGGGCUGCUUUGAUGCAGCCCCACUCCAUUAAAAGUUUCCCUCUUCCCUGCAGAACUGUGGCUGUUGGGACGCACGUAUUUCAAAGCAGCCUUCGUGUUUCUCUGCUAAGCAGUGGUAUUUGGGGAACUAUGGCCCAGUUCACGAUCCAGAUGAAGGCCACCUGACACUUGGGCAUCAAGAGGCGGUAACUUGGUUAGAAUCUGCUUCUCAGACUGAAAUGGGGGCGCGUGAAGACCCCAUACAGCACAGGGCAGUUGUGUGAACGGUCGUUAACCAGUUCCAGAGUUCCUCUUUCUUUUUAAACUUAUUUUUAUUCAUGUAUUUUUAAGUGGCUAUGUGUCUGUUUAUGCACCGUGUGGGUGCAGGUACCCACUAGGUCUAACGGAUGUUAGUGAGGACAGACGAGGGCAACAGAUCUCUUGGAGCUGGUGUUCCGGGCAGGCGUGAGCUCCUGAGGUGGGUGCUGAGAACCGAACUGGGUCCUCUGUCAAAGCAGCAAGUACCCCUGAGCCAUGAGUUUAGCCUCCAGGGUCCCCCUUUCUUGUUGAAGAUACAUCAACUAGCUCUGUAUCCAGUGCAUAAAAUACUUGUUGCUUUUAUCUGGGAGUUGAACCCCUAAGUAGCAUGUCAACCGGGAAUUAUGUAUCAUCGUGAGAUUUCAGUUUCUUUUGCCUUGUUACACUUUCCAAGUGACUAAUAUCAUUUCUGAGGAAUUUGAAUUUUACCUGUGUAGAAAUUUCACCUUCAAUUGCAUAAUGAUAAUUUAUGUUUCACUUAGGCUCUUUCGGUAUUUUGUCUGUUACCUGCAGACCGUGGCAUCUCUUCUGUAAGGAAAGUUGGGACCUUAAAGAAAUCGUGGGCACAGUAAUCAUUUGCCCUUCUCAUAGCUUGGUGAGAAAUGACUGGGGAGAGCCAGAAAUGUCUGUUUUCGUUCAGUUCAGGGUGGCAUGGAGAGAACCAUUUGCCAGGGGCUCCACUCAGCUCCCUGCCUCUGCUGUAGAUAGCAGGAUGAGGACCUUGGACCUGAGGGGAUGCCUUGGGCUUUGAUCCUUCACAGGAUCCAGGGUAACUAUGUUUAAUUAGGCUUUAAUGGUAGGCAAAUCAAGUAGUUCCCUCAGUAGUAGCUCCGAGGGGCGUCUCUUCCGUGGCAUGAGCAGGAUGGGAUUGGAUGCUUGAGUUUGCAAUGCUCAAGGCUGUUGAGAUCAUUGCUCUCUGCAAGGACAUUAAAAUCUACAACCGUCACUUAUCUUCACACCUAACCCGUCUGCCAACCAUUGAUUUCCCAUUUCAGUUUGCAAGGUGCUGAAUGGAGCCGAUCGAUCGAACAGCACUGAUGUGCCUCCAACAUUCCCAUAAUCUAUAUUAUCAGCGGGCUUCCUUCCGAGUGUCCUUAUCUGACCUGGCCACCGCGGCUUUUGGUUGGAGAGAUCAAACGAGACAUUGCAAAGUCUUUUUUUAUAGGCUCAAGCCAGCAUCGGCCCCUCCCCUUCGGGGGAGGACCCACUGUGCCCACCUCCCAGAUCUAAAGCUUUUACUAGAAACUAUGUGCUUGCACCCCGCCCCCCCCAACUUGGAUUUAAAUUAAAAACCCUAAUUAGUCUCCCGUUUUCCAGCAGCCCACAACAAACACCAUUUAAGGAAGAACUGUUUAAAAAGCAGAUUUUUACUUAAUAAACAGCGAUCAAUCGAAUUGAUUAGCCAUGAACGCGCUCCCGCCGAGUCUGUGGGUGGCGCAUGUUGUUGGUAAUUGCGGUUCGCAAGUACAAGACUAUUAAAUGGCUGCCUGUCGCUGAUUUCCCGGCUCUUUGGUUUAAUGGAAUGAGGUCAAGGGUAGGUAGGGGAGGGUGCGAACGAUUGUUGAUGGCACUUUUUGAAUUGGGACCCUGCCUGGACCAACUUUUGCCCUAGCAGUCUUGAAUUAUGUCCUGUAAUCGUGGCUGCUUUACUCAGCCAUUUUUGUGGAUCUUGCAUCUGCUUUAAAAAAAAAAGUAACUCAAGUGGCAAUUAGAUCUUUGCAUGCUGGCUUUGUGGAUUUACAUAAACCUUGAGGAUUGAAGCUGUUUGCGCAUCACAAUUAGCGUGCUGUGCAAGGCUUUAGUUACCCUGGGGUUCUCUGUUUCCUGAAGCUGAGAAAGGCAUCCUGAAGGCUACCCUAGAAGGCCGGGAGGGAGGAGAUUGUGCUCUAAGAAAGCGCUUCGUCUAUCUCCAAAGCACCCACUCUCUUUCAUGAAGGUUCCUAGGGCUCCAGGCCAAGUUCUGAGCCCAGAGGCGUGGCUGCUUUUUAUGCUACAGAGGGAAGGAGAUGCCUGCAGUCUUGGACUCUUGUGGAUGCUGAGCUCAUUUUGAGCAAGUUUCUGGGCCUCUUGGUGUACUUGGUAUUUAUCAAAUUAUAGAAGAGCUUAGAAUAUAGAAUAGUAAUGCAGUACGUCAGUUGUGGCUAGGAUUCCUUAAGAUCUCGUGAUGGAGUUGGAGAUUCCAUGGAGUUGAUGUAUUUACGUGGGUUGGAAUGACCUUCGUACUCUUGGUAUAGCCCUUUGGUAACUGGGAGCCACCAGUGACCUGGGUGACAAUCUUGGCAACCAGGAGUCCUCUUGAUUGUGUGAUUGCUUGUGCCCUCUGGUGGCUCACUCUCGUAUUUCUUGGAUACCAAGCCCGGUGGCCUCUGCCCUCUGCUUUGAGUUACUGGCCAGCACCACCCUUCCAGGGUUCACUGGGGGAGUGAAUAGGCUUUGGCAGUUGACCCAAGCUCCUCAGGAGAUUAUGUUGUCUAGGUCUGUUGGACCAACUGAUAAAGGUCAAGGAAGGGCAGCUCAGCAUGGUAGAUGGGAAGCCACAUGUGCUGGGUACACAUCACGUGUGUUUGUUAUAGCACUUAUCAUUUCAUGAUACUUGUUCGUGGAUAGUUCCAAUGUAUACGUUUCUAGUUCUAACCUGACAGCCACUCUGAGUCCUCUGCUCUUCCUCACAUUCUGCCAAGUGAUGAAGGAAACAAAAUAAAAUGUAACUCGCUAGUCACUUAACCCAGGGUAGCCAUGUGACAAAGAACUAGUCAAUAUGAUGGAUGGGAAGUCCACUGCUGUGUGAUUCUGGACCCCAGCCCUCUCCCUACUAAAGGGGAUAGAUGUAGAAAACUGUCACCCACACUCUCUCUUUCUGCUUUGACUACAGAUGUGAUGCGUGGAGCUCAGGCAGCUACAUUGAUAGCAUGAGGUAUGCAGAGAAACAGGACUCUAGCUCUGACAAGGGCAAGCCAAACCCUACAGAAACCUUCAAACUUUGUAUUAUGGAGGGAAAGUAAGCCCUUAUUCAUUCAAGGCACAGGUAUGCGAUCUACAGUCAGGCAAAUAAUUGGUAACAAAACCACGUUCAGAUGAAAUAACAUGCUGAAAAUCUAAGGAGGAGGAAAGCGAGAAGAAAAAUACAUUUCUUUAGAGUAAUAAGCCAGACCCUACGUCAAAGUCACUGGUGCUAGUGUAGCCAUUUUCAGUUGAGAAAACAGAUUGACUACUCUCGCUCUGUUCAAAUACGCAGUUUAACUUGAAGGACCAAUUACGAAAUGCAAGAGCUGAGCUUCCAGCUGGUUUUAUCUGUCUCCAGGGACAUGUUCCUUCUGAGCAUCACUUUCCUCCUCUCCGUUGUUUGUCCAGAGGAGAUGCUGUGGGCCAACAUUUUGGGGGAAGGUUGUAAAUCCAGGAAAGCAGAUGUAGCUAGAGGGAAGUAUUAGGGAAGGCUACGGCAUCAUUCACUAGCUCCAGGGAGGUACUGACAUGGCUGUGUCAGAGCCCGGGCUGCCUCCUGACCCCUGCAGCAGAAGUACAGAGGCAUAGGAGUGGCUCUGCAAGCAGCCACCAUAAAACCAGUCUUAUACACAGCCCUCAGAGUCAGGCCCAUGAGCAGAGCCUGAGAAAGCAGGGUUGUGAAGCCCUGUCCAACUCCUCCCUGACAGACAGUGAGUGACUUUGGAUGGUCAAAGACUGAAAAUCCAUCAGCCUGGGCUCUAAAGUGAGAAGCAGGGAUCCACUCUAAGCCUCCACAGGAAGCAGGGGACCUGUGUGCUUAAUGAAGAAGGCCACAUUGCCAGUUAAAUGUAAUCAGCUGUGCGUAGUGUAAAUUCAUGCCCUGCAGAUGAGUAUAUACUUCUUCACAGCUGGUGGGCAAGCCUUAAAUCUUAAUUCUUCAUGGAAUACUUUCUCUAGCUACACGACUUUAUGUUCUGGCAUGGAUACUGGAUGGCUCUGUCACAGAGGGCAGAGAUGUCUAGAAAGGGCCCCCAAAGUAGAUCUACAGCAGUACACUCUGGUUUCUAGUCUCUUCAUGGUGCUACCAUGAGUCCUAUUCGGGGUAGAGUCAUUGGCCUCCUCCUCAAGUUCCCUAAGUCAUUGACUCACACCUUCCCCGGCUGGAUAGAUCAUUAAGAGAAUUGGUUUACAAGGCUCUCGCUGAGCUGCUAGCUGUGCAGGAGAGAGUAAACAGACGUUAGAUAGAGCUGUAACAUAUGAUGCUCAAUCCAAUGCUUAAUGAGGCCAGUAAAAGCAGGGAAGCAAGAUUAGCUGCAGAUAAAUGAACGCGGCUGGUGCAGAAUCGAGAGUUGACUGUAUUUUAUUUGAUUUAGCCUUAGAAAUAGCAGAUGUUGUGCCAAUUACAGCAAAGCAGUUCUGACUAAUCUCUUCAUCGAAUUCAUUUGGUUCACAGAAAUGGAUUAAAAAUUAUUUCAUUUCCAUGGGUGUAGAAGUCAUAUGCCUCGCUGUAGAAAAUAUGCAGAAUAAGACACAGAAUUAAAAUGACCAGAAACACCGAUGUAUCAAUAACCCAUAACACAGAUCACAUUUGCAAGGGCUUAGCUGUUUUCAGACUCUUUCUGGAGCCCUGGUUCCAUCAACGCAGGAACCAACACGCGUUAAUGCGGCAAGACUAACCGGGGUGCAGGGAGGCCAUAGAGUCUAUGCAAGUGUUCCCUGCUCGGGGCAGUGCAGUUAGAACGUGACUUUGAUCACUUGGCCCUGGAACCUUCAUCUUCAUGCACAGGGUCGUUUUUGUCUCUGAGGGAAACCAUGGAGGAUAUAUGUUCUCAUCAUCUGAAAAUGCCUGCAAAUAUCACAUCUACACACGUUACAAACCCAGAACCAUGCUUUCUAUUAUGUUGUAAUGCUCUUAGAGGACGUUGUUGUUGUUGUUGUUGGUGGUGGUGGUGGUGAUGGUGGUGGUGGUGGUUGGGGUCAGGGUCUUCAGGUUCAUGACUCCCUGUUUUAAAAUGAAACAAAAACUGCAUAGGUUGCAAACUAUCGGAGAAGCUAUGUUUAAAGCAAAGUGAUAGAAUGGGUCAGAUAACACAGUGACAGCUAGACACAUAGGUGAGGUUAUUUAAGGAUUUAAGGGCCCCAAUUAAUUUUUUUGGAGGGUUCCUUUUUGUGGAAUUAGAUACACUUAUUUGCUAAGGGGCAGAAUUUGGGUGGUUUUCUAUUUUGACUGACUGAUUACAUUGUUAAUUAGCUGCUGCUUCUCCUUCCUCCUCCUUAUUCUAACGUGCGUGCAUGCCCUUUCCCAUAAUGCAUCUGAGUUUAGUUAUUUACAAGCCCCCUUAUACUUAGGAAUAAGGUGGUAAGUAGGGGAAACAUGCUCAAAAUUGGUUUUGAGGAUACAGUUUGACUUAUUGCAUAUGGACUCCAAGUCAGGCGAGGCUGAAUGGAUCUCUUUUUCUUGUACCUAGAUGUAGAGAUAGGUUCUGUCUGAGUUCACUUAUCAUAAAAGGGAGGAGAAACUUUUUCGUUGUUCAGAGAGGGUGUUUGUGGAGUUUGAUGCAGGUGAGUGUCUAGAUUGGCAAUAGGCUGCAAGGUCCAAUAUUCAGAUAAGGGUCUCUCUCUCUCUCUCUCUCUCUCUCUCUCUCUCUCUGUGUGUGUGUGUGUGUAUGUGUGUGUGUGUGUGUGUGUGUGUGUAGAUCAAGGGCAGGGUCAGGCUCUACAUUACUCUCUAUACAUACUUGACUCAACUCUACAAUUAUCAUCAAUGUUUGAUGACUGCCUUGGAAAGGAUGAGUACACCUUCCUCUCCUCUCUCUUUAUGUUGGUCUUUUGAAAUAUGUAGCCCAGGCUGGCAUGAAACUUGCUGUCCUGUUUCUACCUCCCAGCUCAGCUUUGUAUUCUCCUUUUGUUUGUUUGUUUGUUUUUGGUCCCCCUGACUUCUUCCAUGCAAUGAAGCAGCAAAUCAUUGAGAAGAAAUCAGCAUAGAUUGCCCCUUCUGCAUGUAGACUGCUCAGCCUCUGAUAUCCCAGCUUCUAGAAGAGUUAGAUCCCCCUUAUCUUAUUCUGCCUCAGCAACACAAAAUAGAGGCAAGCAUGGACGUACACUGUGAUUUUUUUUUUGAAAAAAAGCUAAUGUUCUAGCCCCAGGUAUUUUCCAAGGGCUAUUGGUUCAUUUUAUAAAUACACCAAGAUGAAAGUCAGUCUUACACACACAUCUCUGAAUGAGUCCCUGAUUAUUUUAUCUAAUCAAAUCCCCACAAGUAGCAUUCCUGGCUGACAAAAUCUGGGACAGUUUUAAUGACCUUGAUAGUCACAUAGAUUUUUAUGUGGGUUUGGGCUGGUGAUGGGCUUUGACCAUGAUGAUGAAAUGAAUGGGUUGUUUCAUUUUGUAAUUGUGAUUACAGCUCUGCCCUCAGCUGCAUGGCAAAAGUGCAUUUGAUGGGUUGGAAAAGAAAUCCCACGGUGGCUUAACGAGAAGUGGUAGAUGGUCCCUUGUGAACCCACAGUGCAGCCUUUCUGCUAGGCAUUGAAAGAAGAAGGUCACUUUCUGAUAGUGUGAACGUCUCUUUGGAGGGCACUCUAGAGGAAAGGGGCUCAUCCUCACCUGGAUCUCAACUGCAAAUCUUGUCUCAAAGAACUCAAGGGCUAUAGAUACUGAUUGGAUGUAGAAUGCUUGCCUUGCAUGCUCUUGGUAUACAGUCUGAUUCCCCAGAGACACAAAAAUAAGGAAAUAAACAAUCCCAGAGAGAUAAAAAGGGCUCUCAUGCAAUAAACAAAUGGUCUGAGAAGAAGACUCUUAGGUUCUUUAUUUGAAAUUGACAAUAUGGCAGAAGCCAUUUUCAAAACAAAGCAAAGAAAAGCAAAACCCCAGCAAAACAAAACAGCAACAUUCCACAAAGUCAUGUUUUGAAGUAGAAGAGGCCAAGUGCGUAUCUUGGUAACAUGCAACACAGUGAAGUGCUAUGGUUCUUAGAGGACUUUGUGAGUAGUGAUGGUGGGAAGACACGCAGGAAAGUAUCUAGACAGGACUGAAAGGAAAAAGGAGAGGACUCAAGACCCCACACAAUACCCAACCCAGCUCUGUUUAAUGAACUCUUAGCAUUGGGAAUCUCCUAUCCUAAAGAGAUAGGGCUGCCAGUUUCCCUUUCUCUGGUUAUUUAUCUUCUUGGUUCAUGUAAUUCUUUGUUCUUGCCAGGGAAAAACACAGGAAUCCCCUAAACAACUACCACACCCCUCCUUAUAUGACCCAGCAGGGAUCUUUCCAAGUGCUCACCUUUUCCUGGACGCUGCUAAACUUGCUGUAGUCGAGGAUCUUCUCUUUCCCAAAACAACCUCAAUUUCUAUCUUGAGGUUGGGAAGAAGUCAGCAGGAGCUCGUGUCCUCCUGGAUCCAUUGCUUCAAAUCCAGGAUUUGUAGGAUCCAGGUGCUGAAGGCCACACUGAAGCCUGAUCUAGACUGCUGGUGCUGCCCUCAGAGGACUGGGCUCCCCUGCAUCUAUCAACAGUCAAGACAAUUCCCUACAGACAUGGUUCCUAUUCUAUUUUCUUGGCUGUGAGGCAAGUUUCUAGGUCAGAGGUAAUGUCUUGGAAAUAGCAAUUGGACUUGCCUUUAGGUCCUUGCUUCAAUGGAGGCAAUUCCUCUACUGAGGGGUUCUCUCAGAUGACUCUUAGGAUAGAUGAUGGACAGGUAAUGCUGACAAGAACACAGCACUCCUCAUCAACUUGGCACCUAGAUAUAUAACUUUUAAACCAUAAUCUUUCAUUCCUUGUCCCCAACAUCUCACAUUAAUGAUACCUUGAAGACAUUUUAUUUAUUUUAUUUGUGUUUAUGUGUAUAUGCCUGAAUAUAUGUGAGCACACUGUCUAUGUACGGGUGCCUGUGAAGAUCAUAAAAGGCCUUCAGAUCUCCUGGAAUUGGAAUUACAAGUGGUUGUGAGCUGCGGUUUAGCACAGGUCCUGGUAACCAUACCUGAGUCUUUGGCAUGACAAACCAGAGCGCUUAACUUUUGGACCAUUUCUUCAGCCCCAAGUCUAACUUUGAAAAGUUCCUUAGUCUUUAAAAAUCCAACAUAUAAUAGCACAAAAUGAAAUUCCUUAUUCCCACAGGGAAGAACCAGGACAAAGAUAGGAAUAAUCAGGCCCAACCAAAAAAUAACGGUCUAGGAGUGUAAAUCCAAUUUUAUUUUAGCUCAAUGUCUGGCAUCUGAGAUUCACUCAUUGGAUAGUUGUCUGGCUCCAAAAGGCUUGGGCACACAUUCUGUUCCAGCUCUACCGUCCACAGCACACACAGCCUGCUGUCUUGUAGGCUUAGUCUGGCUCCGCUGCACACCUGCUGCUCUUCUUGGUGUGGAUCCUAUAAUCCUGGCAUCUCCUAAUAUCCUGGGGUCUCCAUUACAGCUAAGAUUAUGCCUUCAUCAAUGGCCUCUUCACAGAGAUUCUGAGAUUAAUACAGUGUUUCGGUUCUCAUCCACUCUCUACGAGUUCCUCAGUCUUAUUUCUUGUUUGUCUUCAAAACCUGUACCACAUGUAUGAUACUUACACAUUUCUAAAUUUGGCUUCUUGCCCCUUGUGCCAGCUUCUGUAUACUGACCCUGACAUCACUGUCCUAUUAUCCCUAUGAAGCAUAACUAGUGUUUUUCAGUGGUGCCUGUCUCUUUAACAAGCAUAGAUGCUUCUUCAGUUCCAUUAUAUAACCACUUCUCACAGAUUCGGACCCUAAAUAUUCAAGAAUAGCUGCCAGUCAAAUUCCCUAGCAAAGUCUUUAUUUCUCUGUAAAAUAUGAAAUUACAGAGCCACACCAAUGGGAUAAAGAUGGAUGUAAGUUAACCAUAUGACCAGGUAGAGGACUACAGCAUCAAAUCUAUGGUGUGAUAGAGGGAUGGUGGUCCAUCCUGUCAUAGGGUAAAGAUCGAGUGUCAUGCCUAGAUAUGAGUAAAGUUACCAGCUAGACCUUGAGGAUGCUGAGGGAAGAGAGCUAGAUGUGAGUUUGAUAUUUAGGUUUGAGGAUCUGGAAGGCAUAGAGAAGAGGGCACUCUCAGAGGACAUGAGUCUUGAGCAGCAAGUGGGCAAUGUUCUGGAACAGAAAAACAUCCCAGAAAGCAGAGGAUAAAAUCCUGGUGUUUUCCAGAGUCUCAUGAGUAAGAGGGAAAGAAAUUCCAUGAAGGCCACUUGGGUAGAUAUGGAACUCAAAGAAAAUCAAAGGGAGCUCACACCAUGAACCCUGGAUGAAAACAUGGUAACAGACAGCAGCAAAAGUUCAUUUAUUUUUCCUAAGGAAAUUGAGGUCUAGGGACUUGCCAGUGGGUCUACCACAUAGCCAGUGGCAGACUGAGAACAUGGACAGAAGACACUUGCCAUGUUUCAGUUAGGGGGCAGAGCUUUUAACAAAGCCAUUUUACUUGGACUCAAUUUUACAGGAUCUUUGUUUUAUUUUCUGUUGCUGUGACAAAACACCCGACUAAAGCAGUUUAAGGGAGGAAAGGUUUAUUUCAUUUAUUUACAUUCUAGGUGGUAGUCCAUCAUUACAAGGAUGUCAAGGUGGGAGGAGCUUGAAGCUGCUAGUCUCAUAGGUACCGUCAGGCUCACAGUGGAGCAGCACUUCGAUGCACGAGUGCUAAUGUUCAGUUCCUCCUCUACACUUGUACAGUCCAGGAUCCCCUAAGUCAAGGGAAUGAUGCCACCUACAGUGACUAUGUCUUCCUACAUUAUUCAAGACAACCAAGAUAGUUCCUCACAGACAUUCUCAGACAGCUCCUUUCAGCUGCUUGACUAGGCAGAGGUCUGCAGGACAUAGAAGUCAGAGGCCAUCGGCUUGCCCACAGUAAGAGGAUUGCUCCUCGGAGGGUCAUGACAUGUGUUUGCAACGUUAACAAACCAAGGCAGUUCCUCACCCAGGGCUGAGCUGCGCAUGACUGCUGCUUCUGUGCCUUUGAGUAAUGAGGGGACACAGCAAGACGGCCACAUCGGGGCUGCUGUAUUAGUAAGGCUACUUUCCUGUCCAUUUAUCAUCAAUUAAAGGCGUGCUAGUUUGUAAAGCAA